GGUUACCUUGUUCGACUUCACCCCAAUUACCAAUCCCACCUUCGGCAGCGCCCCCCUCGCGGUUAGGCUACUGACUUCGGGUGUUACCGGCUCUCAUGGUGUGACGGGCGGUGUGUACAAGGCCCGGGAACGUAUUCACCGCGGCAUGCUGAUCCGCGAUUACUAGCAAUUCCGACUUCAUGCAGGCGAGUUGCAGCCUGCAAUCCGAACUGAGACACUUUUUCGGGAUUUGCUUCACCUCGCGGUGUCGCUUCCCUCUGUUUGAGUGCCAUUGUAGUACGUGUGUAGCCCAGGUCAUAAAGGGCAUGAUGAUUUGACGUCAUCCCCACCUUCCUCCGUGUUAUCCACGGCAGUCUCACUAGAGUGCUCUUGCGUAGCAACUAAUGAUAAGGGUUGCGCUCGUUGCGGGACUUAACCCAACAUCUCACGACACGAGCUGACGACAACCAUGCACCACCUGUCUUCGUGUCCCGAAGGAAGGAUACAUCUCUGUAUCCGCCACUCGAUGUCAAGACCUGGUAAGGUUCUUCGCGUUGCUUCGAAUU
rnacentral:rRNA from 1 species